GCCAGUGCCGCCGGAGCCGGGGCCUGCCCGGCAGAGCGGGUGGCCGGGCUCCCGGCCUGCCAUCCCCCCGCCCCGCGUAGCCUCGGGGAGGGACGUGUGUCUCGGAAAUCGCCGCUCCGCCAGAACCGGGCUGUGCGAGAUGACAGAGAGGACAGUCCCCUACUGAUCUCAGCGGGUUGGUGGUUCGAGGCGAGCUGGCCACCGUGCCUGCAGAGGAACCGCCUGCUACCCUGUUGGGGACUGCCCUGCCUGGUUUCAGAAGCUGUAACCCCCGCCAAGGCUAAGGCUGAGGGAGCGACCUUGGACGACAGGACGCACACCGCGGGCCUUCUCCUGACGUUACUUCUGGGAGAUUCUUCUCGCACCUGUACCCGCACCUUCCCUUCCACCUCCUCCUCUGCAGCCGCGCGGACGCACAGUCACCCACCGGGCCGGGCUCUGGCUGACGGACGCCUGGGUGGUUUCCAGCAGACGACUCCGCAGUGAACGACCUUGUCCCGUUCAAGUUCACGUCACGAGGACAGCCACAGGGGGAGGCCUAGCAGCCAAAGCGGGCGAUCGUUAGGAACCCAGGAGGUGCUGCCAAAACUCCCAGCACACGAGUUGUUCCGGUCUACACCCCCACCAGUGACACAGCAGAAUGUUUAUGUUCUGUUUGGUGUUACCAACCUUCCAGCUUUUUUCCUCUGAGUGGGAACGACGGGAGAAAGAUGCCAGCUCAUUUUUCCACUGUUUACCUCUUUCCAGAGCUUCUGUCGGACUGUUAGUCUUCCCCCCUCGAGCUGCAAAAGCUGUCUUACGUUAGGAAGAUGUGUUUAGAAACGGAUGUUUCUCUAGGGACGUCGGUGAGAGGCUCGGGGCGUCUGCCAGUCCCACCGCCGCGAGCAUUCUGUCGCACAGCGAGCUGGUUUUCGGAUUCUGUUGAUGUAAUCGCAGCUGAAGAGCUCUGACAACUCGCUGAGGCCGGCGCGCCAUCCUGACCCUCACGGAACAAACACCAGAGUCCUAGCUCCGCGCAGGCGGUAAAUGCUCCACUUCUGCCCCAGAAAAGUGCUCUUUCGGGGGGCGGGGCAGGGGCUGGGGUCGCCGCUUGUCCACCAUGCUUCUGUGUUUCCCUUGCCGUCACACUUGUUCCUGUAGUUUUGACUUCACUGUAUUUUCCAGGUUUUCUACACUGAUCAUAUAUUACUACCA